UACGUAGGUGGCAAGCGUUGUCCGGAAUUAUUGGGCGUAAAGCGCGCGCAGGCGGCCUCUUAAGUCUGAUGUGAAAGCCCCCGGCUCACCCGGGGAGGGCCAUUGGAAACUGGGAGGCUUGAGUAUAGGAGAGAAGAGUGGAAUUCCACGUGGAGCGGUGAAAUGCGUAGAGAUGUGGAGGAACACCAGUGGCGAAGGCGACUCUUUGGCCUAUAACUGACGCUGAGGCGCUAACGCGGGGGGAGCCCACAGGAGGCGAAACCCCAGUAGUCC
rnacentral:rRNA from 1 species